rnacentral:rRNA from 1 species
CAGCGACUUAUAUUCUGUAGCAAGGUUAACCGAAUAGGGGAGCCGAAGGGAAACCGAGUCUUAACUGGGCGUUAAGUUGCAGGGUAUAGACCCGAAACCCGGUGAUCUAGCCAUGGGCAGGUUGAAGGUUGGGUAACACUAACUGGAGGACCGAACCGACUAAUGUUGAAAAAUUAGCGGAUGACUUGUGGCUGGGGGUGAAAGGCCAAUCAAACCGGGAGAUAGCUGGUUCUCCCCGAAAGCUAUUUAGGUAGCGCCUCGUGAAUUCAUCUCCGGGGGUAGAGCACUGUUUCGGCAAGGGGGUCAUCCCGACUUACCAACCCGAUGCAAACUGCGAAUACCGGAGAAUGUUAUCACGGGAGACACACGGCGGGUGCUAACGUCCGUCGUGAAGAGGGAAACAACCCAGACCGCCAGCUAAGGUCCCAAAGUCAUGGUUAAGUGGGAAACGAUGUGGGAAGGCCCAGACAGCCAGGAUGUUGGCUUAGAAGCAGCCAUCAUUUAAAGAAAGCGUAAUAGCUCACUGGUCGAGUCGGCCUGCGCGGAAGAUGUAACGGGGCUAAACCAUGCACCGAAGCUGCGGCAGCGACGCUUAUGCGUUGUUGGGUAGGGGAGCGUUCUGUAAGCCUGUGAAGGUGUACUGUGAGG